rnacentral:tRNA from 1 species
GCAGAGGUAGCUCAGUGGUAGAGCUCUUGCCUAUCAUGCAUGAGGUCCUGGAUUGUAUCCUCAGCA